rnacentral:rRNA from 1 species
GACGAACCGAGCAAACGUUAUUCGGAAUCACUGGGCUUAAAGGGCGCGUAGGCGGGCAUCCAAGUCUGUGGUGAAAUCCGGCAGCUUAACUGUCGAACUGCCGUGGAUACUGGGUGCCUCGAGGGAGGUAGGGGCGUGCGGAACUAUUGGUGGAGCGGUGAAAUGCGUAGAUAUCGUUUGGAACGCCAAUGGUGAAAACAGCUAGCUGGGGAUGUGCCGACGCUGAGACACGAAAGCCAGGGGAGCGAACGGG